AUUGAACGCUGGCGGCAUGCCUUACACAUGCAAGUCGAACGGCAGCACGGGUGCUUGCACCUGGUGGCGAGUGGCGAACGGGUGAGUAAUACAUCGGAAUCUGCCCAUUAGUGGGGAAUAACCAGUCGAAAGACUGGCUAAUACCGCAUACGACCUACGGGUGAAAGCAGGGGACCGCAAGGCCUUGCGCUAUUGGAUGAGCCGAAGUCGGAUUAGCUAGUUGGUGAGGUAACGGCUCACCAGGGCGACGAUCCGUAGCUGGUCUGAGAGGACGACCAGCCACACUGGGACUGAGACACGGCCCAGACUCCUACGGGAGGCAGCAGUGGGGAAUAUUGGACAAUGGGGGAAACCCUGAUCCAGCGACGCCGCGUGUGUGAAGAAGGCCUGCGGGUUGUAAAGCACUUUUAGUGGGGAGGAAAACACUCGACCUAACACGUCGAGAAUUGACUUAACCCAAAGAAAAAGCACCGGCUAACUCUGUGCCAGCCGCCGCGGUAA
rnacentral:rRNA from 1 species